rnacentral:rRNA from 1 species
AUGGAUACGAGUAACCAUGAUGAUGGAUAUGAGUCAUGUACUGAUUCUGAGGAGGAGGAGGAGGAGGAGAUGAUGUUUCUUGUCUUCCCGACAAUAUAUUGUAUAUCUUCUAGGAGGGAAAAGAUUCCAGUGAACACAUCCAUUCUUACGGGAGCUAAGUAUAUCCGAGAAAUAUUGGAUGGCCACCCUCAACGGUGCCUUGAUAUUCUUAGGAUGGAAUCCCAUAUCUUCCAACUUCUAUGUGACCAUCUUAGAUCCAAAAAUCUUCUAAAAAAUUCAAAAGGAGUCAGUGUUGAAGAGCAACUAGGGAUGUUUAUGUACAUGCUAUCCAGGAAUGCGAGUUAUCGUACGUUGACUGAUAGGUUUCAGCACAGUCCUGAAACGGUGCAUAGGCAUAUCAAUGGAUGCUUCAACGCUAUGAGAUCAUUGGCAUUUGACCUUAUCAAGCAUAGUUCGCUAGAUACUCAUUGGAAAAUAUCAACAAAUCCCCAGUUUUGGCCUUUCUUUGAGAACUGCCUAGGGGCAAUAGAUGGGACACAUAUAGUAACCAUAGCUUGUUUAUCAUUUUUGCAUUCAAAAUCAUAUAGACCUGCUGCUGUCUAG